rnacentral:pre_miRNA from 1 species
AACCCGUAGAUCCGAUCUUGUGGUGAAGUCUAGUGCGCAAGCUCGCUUCUAUGGGUCUG